rnacentral:misc_RNA from 1 species
UACGGAGGGUGCAAGCGUUAAUCGGAAUUACUGGGCGUAAAGGGUGCGUAGGUGGUAUGGUAAGUUAUCUGUGAAAUACCUGGGCUUAACCUGGGGGAGUCAGAUGAGACUGCUGUACUCGAGUAUAGGAGAGGGCAGUGGAAUUUCCGGUGUAGCGGUGAAAUGCGUAGAUAUCGGAAGGAACACCGGUGGCGAAGGCGGCUGCCUGGCCUAAUACUGACACUGAGGCACGAAAGCGUGGGUAGCGAACAGG